AGCUUAUAGAGAAAGACGGAGGGAUUAGACCCUGCGAAGUCUUAGCAACCUGUGCUUACAAGGUGCUACAUUCUACUGGAACCGGACCAUUGGUUCCCGAAAGAUAAGUU
rfam:Pedobacter steynii strain DX4, complete genome.